AGUCAUUGUAGCAAUACAAGGCAGACGGCUCAGUAACGCGUAGUCAAUCUACCCUAUGGACGGGAAUAACCUCGGGAAACUGAGAAUAAUGCCCGAUAGAACAUUAUGCCUGGAAUGGUUUAUGUUUCAAAUGAUUUAUCGCCAUAGGAUGGGACUGCGGCCUAUCAGUUUGUUGGUGAGGUAAUGGCCCACCAAGACUAUUACAGGUACGGGCUCUGAGAGGAGUGGCCCGGAGAUGGGUACUGAGACACGGACCCAGGCCCUAUGGGGCGCAGCAGGCGAGAAAACUUUGCAAUGUGCGAAAGCACGACAAGGUUAAUCCGAGUGGUUUCUGCUAAAGAAACCUUUUGUCAGUCCUAGAAACACUAACGAAUAAGGGGUGGGCAAGUUCUGGUGUCAGCCGCCGCGGUAAAACCAGCACCUCAAGUGGUCAGGAUGAUUAUUGGGCCUAAAGCAUCCGUAGCUCGUUUUGUAAGUUUUCGGUUAAAUCCAUACGCUUAACGUAUGGGCUGCCGGGAAUACUGCAUAACUAGGAAGUGGGAGAGGUAGACGGUACUCGGUAGGAAGGGGUAAAAUCCUUUGAUCUAUUGAUGACCACCUGUGGCNAANGC
rnacentral:rRNA from 1 species